GAGGUAGAAUUNCACGUGUAGCAGUGAAAUGCGUAGAGAUGUGGAGGAAUACCGAUGGCGAAGGCAGCCUCCUGGGAUAACACUGACGUUCAUGCCCGAAAGCGUGGGUAGCAAACAGGAUUAGAUACCCUGGUAGUCCACGCCCUAAACGAUGUCGAUUAGCUGUUGGGCAGCAUGACUGCUUAGUAGCGAAGCUAACGCGUGAAAUCGACCGCCUGGGGAGUACGGUCGCAAGAUUAAAACUCAAAGGAAUUGACGGGGACCCGCACAAGCGGUGGAUGAUGUGGAUUAAUUCGAUGCAACGCGAAGAACCUUACCUGGUCUUGACAUGUACGGAACCCUCCAGAGACGGAGGGGUGCCUUCGGGAGCCGUAACACAGGUGCUGCAUGGCUGUCGUCAGCUCGUGUCGUGAGAUGUUGGGUUAAGUCCCGCAACGAGCGCAACCCUUGUCAUUAGUUGCCAUCAUUAAGUUGGGCACUNUAAUGAGACUGCCGGUGACAAGCCGGAGGAAGGUGGGGAUGACGUCAAGUCCUCAUGGCCCUUAUGACCAGGGCUUCACACGUCAUACAAUGGUCGGUACAGAGGGUAGCCAAGCCGCGAGGUGGAGCCAAUCUCACAAAACCGAUCGUAGUCCGGAUUGCACUCUGCAACUCGAGUGCAUGAAGUCGGAAUCGCUAGUAAUCGCAGGUCAGCAUACUGCGGUGAAUACGUUCCCGGGUCUUGUACACACCGCCCGUCACACCAUGGGAGUGGGGGAUACCAGAAGUAGGUAG
rnacentral:rRNA from 1 species